GUGGGGAAUUUUGGACAAUGGGCGCAAGCCUGAUCUAGCCAUGCCGCGUGAGCGAUGAAGGCCUUAGGGUUGUAAAGCUCUUUCGUGGGGGAAGAUAAUGACUGUACCCCAAGAAGAAGCCCCGGCUAACUCCGUGCCAGCAGCCGCGGUAAUACGGAGGGGGCUAGCGUUGUUCGGAAUUACUGGGCGUAAAGCGCACGUAGGCGGACUGGAAAGUCAGGGGUGAAAUCCCGGGGCUCAACCCCGGAACUGCCUUUGAAACUCCCAGUCUUGAGUUCGAGAGAGGUGAGUGGAAUUCCGAGUGUAGAGGUGAAAUUCGUAGAUAUUCGGAGGAACACCAGUGGCGAAGGCGGCUCACUGACUCGAUACUGACGCUGAGGUGCGAAAGCGUGGGGAGCAAACAGGAUUAGAUACCCGUGUAGUCC
rnacentral:rRNA from 1 species